rnacentral:rRNA from 1 species
UUUGUAUAAUGGGUCAGCGACUUAUAUUCAGUGGCAAGGUUAACCAUCUAGGGGAGCCGUAGGGAAACCGAGUCUUAACUGGGCGUUCAGUCUCUGGAUAUAGACCCGAAACCAGGUGAUCUAGCCAUGGGCAGGUUGAAGGUUGAGUAACAUCAACUGGAGGACCGAACCGACUAAUGUUGAAAAAUUAGCGGAUGACUUGUGGCUAGGGGUGAAAGGCCAAUCAAACCUGGAGAUAGCUGGUUCUCCCCGAAAGCUAUUUAGGUAGCGCCUCGGACGAAUACUACUGGGGGUAGAGCACUGUUAAGGCUAGGGGGUCAUCCCGACUUACCAACCCUUUGCAAACUCCGAAUACCAGUAAGUACUAUCCGGGAGACACACGGCGGGUGCUAACGUCCGUCGUGGAGAGGGAAACAACCCAGACCGCCAGCUAAGGUCCCAAAUUACUACUAAGUGGGAAACGAUGUGGGAAGGCUCAGACAGCCAGGAUGUUGGCUUAGAAGCAGCCAUCAUUUAAAGAAAGCGUAAUAGCUCACUGGUCGAGUCGGCCUGCGCGGAAGAUGUAACGGGGCUAAGUAGUAAACCGAAGCUGCGGCAAUGUGCUUUUGCACAUUGGGUAGGGGAGCGUUCUGUAAGCGGUUGAAGGUGUGUGGUAACGCAUGCUGGACGUAUCAGAAGUGCGAAUGCUGACAUGAGUAACGAUAAAGGGGGUGAAAAACCUCCUCGCCGGAAGACCAAGGGUUCCUGUCCAACGUUAAUCGGGGCAGGGUAAGUCGACCCCUAAGGCGAGGCCGAAAGGCGUAGUCGAUGGGAAACGGGUUAAUAUUCCCGUACUUCUUACAAUUGCGAUGGGGGGACGGAGAAGGCUAGGUGGGCCUGGCGACGGUUGUC